CGCUAGUAAUCGCGGAUCAGCAUGCCGCGGUGAAUACGUUCCCGGGCCUUGUACACACCGCCCGUCACACCAUGAGAGUCGGGAACACCCGAAGUCCGUAGCCUGACCGCGAAGGGGGGCGCGGCCGAAGGUGGGUUCGAUAAUUGGGGUGAAGUCGUAACAAGGUACC
rnacentral:rRNA from 1 species